UGCGAUCAUACCAGCGCUAAUGCACCGGAUCCCAUCAGAACUCCGCAGUUAAGCGUGCUUGGGCGAGAGUAGUACUAGGAUGGGUGACCUCCUGGGAAGUCCUCGUGUUGCA
rnacentral:rRNA from 2 species